ensembl:lncRNA
AUAAGAUCAAGAAGCUCAUCUUCAUCAUCACCAUCAAGGGCGUCUUGCAAAGCAGUGGACAAGAGAUCGCGCUCAGACUGACUAAGAUACAACAUUAGUGAGUCAAACAAUAAAUCAGGUGAGACAGUGUGUUCACCAAAUGUGAUUGCUGCUGUAAAGGCUUGAGCCAGCCGAGAAGGAAAAUAUCCAUGGUCCUUUAAUCCCUUGACCAUUAUCCUACCAACAGAUUUCCAUUCUUCCUCUUGCCAUUUUGGGGAUAGUGAUGGCACCCUCACAUCUGCACCCUCUGCUGCACAGUCUAAAAACUCUGUCCAGAAGGCAGCAUAUACAUCCCUGGACACGCCAUCAGCAUCUGCCCCCAUUUCAUGAAUGAAGCUGUAUUUCACAGAGUAGGACAUCAUCGCUUCAUCCUUGAAUUGGGUAAUCAGUUCCUCCAAGAGACUGACUCUGUGGAGUUUCACUGUCACAUGAAAAAGUUCAUAAGUAGGACUUAAUGGGCCAGCAGGCACUGUGUCAGAAUGGACAGGAGUUGAGCUGUAGGCAUUGAAGGUUAUCUGUGCCUCUUCUAUAGGCUCAUGUAAGAUUGUGUCAUCAAGAUCUUCUGAAAAUGGUCCACCUUGCAAAGGGCCAAAAAUGACCUCCGAUUCAUCACACAAAGAUGUAAGAUCAACAAUCUCUACAGCAGUAGAGACAAAAGCUUCCACAGUGUGUGUCUGCUGUUCACUGUCAUGUGUUUUUUGUGUCACCUGCUCAUUAUCUUCUGUUGUGUUUUUCUGUCGCUCAUUUAGCCUCGCUGCAUCUGUCUGUUCAUCAGUUCCUUCUGUCAUCUCUGGGAACACUUCAUCUCCAUUUGUCAGGUGCUCUGUGAACAAGUAAAAUCUUAAAAUCCCCAAUUUAUGUGUCUCAUAGAGCUCUCCCACACUAACAUCCUCAUCAAGGUAUGCUUCCUGAAAGUCAACAAUGUUGUGACUGAACUCUUCCCACUUUCCCUUUCUCGAUUUCUCAUUGGGGAAAAAUAGCUUUUUAGCUUGUGAUAGAAUCUCUGUUUUUGUGGCUUUCUUGGAAAUAUCAAGAACUCUGGUUCCUCCACCAUUGAGUUUUCUCACUUGUUUCUUGUCGUGUAUCCAUCCUAGUUCUAUUUUCCUUGUCAUCUUCACAGCCCUUUUGUUAUUUCUCAGAUGUAUCUUUGUUGGCUGCAUAGAAUGCUCCUCCUCAAAAUCUUGAUCUGUGUCUUUAUUGCUUGUCAAUGUGCCCAUCUUUCUUCUAAGUUUUUCAAAUAAGGACAGUCUUUUUAGAUCAUCACCACCUUUUCUCUGUUUUUCCAUACAGAAAUGCCUUGUAGCAAUCCUAUCACCAUAUGCUGGAAUGUAAGCAGUCAUAGUGGCAUCAUCUAUUUCUCCAAUUACCGAGCUGUCAAUCUGUAAUGAAAACAAAACAAUACAGAAUCCCUCGGCUCUGAAGAAACAUCCACAGACCGUCAUCUUGUGGGAGGGGGGUAUUUGAAGACGUAGCCAUAGCUGGCCCUGAACAAAUGUCGGAAAAAGGCAGUAUUUAUGUAAAUAUGUGUUGCACCACAAAUAUAAACAGAUUUAGGACUGUACCCUCAAAAGUGUAAUUGCUUAAAGUAUCUCAAAAAUGUAUUUCUCCAUUUUUUACGAGAACAUUAAUAAAGGCCAAGAGUGUCAUAACGUUGCUAAAAAUGGAUUUUUCAUGUACAGUAUAAACUGUAUAGGUAGGCAACUAUA